rnacentral:lncRNA from 1 species
UAUUGCAGUGUUUGGAUUUCAAAUUCCACUUAUCUUUGUUUCUAUCAUGAAAAAAAUAGAUGCUGCCCCGUGAGACAAUUUCACAUAGAUCUAAAAUUCUUCAUAAUUCUCCGACAGACGCAAAUAAUCUUCUGCUGAUAAAUUUUCAGCAGUGUAUCAGUUGUUAUGACCCACUAAUAGAACAAAUCACACCUUUCUUACCCCAGGGAAUGUUGUGGGCCAACAAUAACUCCUUUCGAUUGUUAAAGUUUGUAUUU